rnacentral:rRNA from 1 species
AUUGAACGCUGGCGGCAUGCCUUACACAUACAAGUCGAACGGCAGCAUGGAGAGCUUGCUCUCUGAUGGCGAGUGGCGAACGGGUGAGUAAUGCAUCGGAACGUACCGUGUAAUGGGGGAUAACGUAGCGAAAGUUACGCUAAUACAGCAUACGACCUGAGGGUGAAAGCAGGGGAUCGCAAGACCUUGCGUUAUACGAGCGGCCGAUGUCAGAUUAGCUAGUUGGUGAGGUAAAGGCUCACCAAGGCGACGAUCUGUAGCGGGUCUGAGAGGAUGAUCCGCCACACUGGGACUGAGACACGGCCCAGACUCCUACGGGAGGCAGCAGUGGGGAAUCUUGGACAAUGGGGGCAACCCUGAUCCAGCGAUGCCGCGUGUGUGAAGAAGGCCUGCGGGUUGUAAAGCACUUUUGUUGGGGAAGAAAGGGUGGUAGUGAAUAGCUACUGCAAUUGACGUUACCCAAAGAAAAAGCACCGGCUAACUCUGUGCCAGCAGCCGCGGUAA